AGGUCAGCUCCCCAGGAAACAGACACCAAGGCUCUGAGCUGUGCAUGCUGGGACAUUACCGGGGAGAGAAGGGACGUCAGUGUAUAUUUUUUCCUACCUUCAAUGAAUGCCCUAUUGAAAACCCUAAGGAGAGACAACUAACUGUGAAGGACAUUUACCAUCAGCACAUCCUUACUGGAGCAGAGUUCCUCCUCCCAUUCAGCAGCCCAGGGCAGCCCCCUGUCGCCAUGGUGCCAGAAGAUG